rnacentral:rRNA from 1 species
GUAGGUGGCAAGCGUUGUCCGGAAUUAUUGGGCGUAAAGCGCGCGCAGGCGGUCCUUUAAGUCUGAUGUGAAAGCCCACGGCUCAACCGUGGAGGGUCAUUGGAAACUGGGGGGACUUGAGUACAGAAGAGGAAAGCGGAAUUCCAAGUGUAGCGGUGAAAUGCGUAGAGAUUUGGAGGAACACCAGUGGCGAAGGCGGCUUUCUGGUCUGUAACUGACGCUGAGGCGCGAAAGCGUGGGGAGCAAACAGGAUUAGAUACCCUGGCAGUCCACGCCGUAAACGAUGAGUGCUAAGUGUUAGGGGGUUUCCCGCCCCUUAGUGCUGCAGCUAACGCAUUAAGCACUCCGCCUGGGGAGUACGGCCGCAAGGCUG